rnacentral:tRNA from 1 species
GGGGGAUUAGCUCAGCUGGCUAGAGCGCUUCCAUGGCAUGGAAGAGGUCAUCGGUUCGACUCCGAUAUUCUCCACUA